rnacentral:rRNA from 1 species
CUUUAUUGGAGAGUUUGAUCCUGGCUCAGGACGAACGCUGGCGGCGUGCCUAAUACAUGCAAGUCGAGCGGA